GCUACAGAAACGUAAAGGAAGUUGACGGGACCCCGCACAAGCGGUGGAUCAUGUUGUUUAAUUCGAUGAUACGCGAAGAACCUUACCAGGUCUUGACAUCCCCCGCGAUGCUUUAGAGAUAAAGCGGAGGUAUUCGGGGAGACAGGUGGUGCAUGGUUGUCGUCAGCUCGUGUCGUGAGAUGUUGGGUUAAGUCCCGCAACGAGCGCAACCCCUAUUGCUAGUUACCAUCAUUAAGUUGGGGACUCUAGCGAGACUGCCAGUGAUAAACUGGAGGAAGGUGGGGAUGACGUCAAAUCAUCAUGCCCCUUAUGACCUGGGCUACAAACGUGAUACAAUGGCUGGAACAAAGGGAUGCGAAGCAGUGAUGUGGAGCGAAACCCAUAAAAACAGUCUCAGUUCGGAUUGAAGUCUGCAACUCGACUUCAUGAAGUCGGAAUCGCUAGUAAUCGCGGAUCAGAACGCCGCGGUGAAUACGUUCUCGGGGUUU
rnacentral:rRNA from 1 species